rnacentral:rRNA from 1 species
AGUUUGAUCCUGGCUCAGAACGAACGCUGGCGGCAUGCCUAACACAUGCAAGUCGAACGGGAUCCUAGCUUGCUAGGUGAGAGUGGCGGACGGGUGAGUAACACGUGGGAAUCUGCCUUCUGGUUCGGGAUAACCGCGGGAAACUGCGGCUAAUACCGAAUGCCCUCGAGAGAGGAAAGAUUUAUCGCCAGAAGAGGAGCCCGCGUCCGAUUAGGUAGUUGGUGGGGUAAAGGCCUACCAAGCCGACGAUCGGUAGCUGGUCUGAGAGGAUGAUCAGCCACACUGGGACUGAGACACGGUCCAGACUCCUACGGGAGGCAGCAGUAGGGAAUAUUGGACAAUGGAGGCAACUCUGAUCCAGCCAUGCCGCGUGCAGGAUGACGGUCCUAUGGAUUGUAAACUGCUUUUGUACAGGAAGAAACCCUCGGACGUGUCCGAGAUUGACGGUACUGUAAGAAUAAGGAUCGGCUAACUCCGUGCCAGCAGCCGCGGUAAUACGGAGGAUCCAAGCGUUAUCCGGAAUCAUUGGGUUUAAAGGGUCCGUAGGCGGUUUAGUAAGUCAGUGGUGAAAGCCCAUCGCUCAACGGUGGAACGGCCAUUGAUACUGCUAGACUUGAAUUAUAAGGAAGUAACUAGAAUAUGUAGUGUAGCGGUGAAAUGCUUAGAUAUUACAUGGAAUACCAAUUGCGAAGGCAGGUUACUACUUAUGGAUUGACGCUGAUGGACCAAAGCGUGGGUAGCGAACAGGAUUAGAUACCCUGGUAGUCC